GCUCUCAGCACUACUUGUCUGCUGGCUGUAGUGGCUGUUUGUGUAGCAGCACUUCUGCUGAAGAGGGCAAGAGCAUGUGGAACCAGAGAUGGACGACUGACCUCAACAGGCACAACUAAGGGUGCAGCGGAUGUCCUCUACUCCACUGUGAACAAAUCAGCUGCUCCUGCUAACUCUGGUGAUGAUGUGA